CUACGCAUGUUUCGGGGAGGGGGGCACACGCAGGUGGGAAGGUGGAGCCGGAGGGCCGGCUCCCUUUAAGAAAGGCCUAGCUGUGGGCAGAGGCCUGAGGAGGCACCACUGGGAGUGGAACAGCUGUGUGGUGGCGUACGGCAGGUACAGAACGUGCAUUUCUUUGUGUUCAUGGAACUGUUGAAUGCACUGUAAAGGUAGACAGACGUGCUCAAGGCGAAGUGUUGGGGCACAGAAAAGCUUGCGUUUGGCAACUUGAGAAACGUCUGGGUGUUUAGAGAAACCAAACCGUUGUGCACCUCGCAUGAAGCAGGGUGUUGCCAGCGUGUCCUGGCCUCAGCAUAGCCCAAGGGGCUGCUAAGGUUACAGAAUGGAGGGCGUUGGGUGGCCCGAGGAGCCAAAUGAAAAUUGUUUGCUCCCCGUGUCCAGGAAAUUAAAAUAUGGUUGAUAACGGCACCUGUUCCCUUCAAAGGAGAAAGCGUUCAAUAUCAAUCACUGUUUCUUAAGGGAGACAAAUAUUUUUUUUUCCCCAUGGGGAGCAUCCUGUCAAAGCUCCAGAAAUUUAUGUCACUUCAGCAAUAAGUUGCUAAAACAUAUUAAGUGAAUUGACAACGUUCUGUAGUGUUUUGCCACCAUAAAUAUCUGGCAUUUCAUAUUAGAACUCCCUGAGCCUUGGCAGCAUAACAGUCAUUGUCAUAACUGAAAAAUAAAAGACAACUCAUCUUCAUGCUUUGAAUACCAAGGGCUGAAUCAUAGUAAAUCGGUGCCAUUGAGGCAUUAAGAAAAAAUGCAUUUUUAGUAUAUAUUUAUAGUAUCUGCUUAUGACUGGGCUUUCUCUGAAGUGCUGUUUCAGAGUUCUUCCUGCUGUUACCGUCAGGAUGCGGUCCUUCCUGCUGGCAGCCUGUUCUUAGGCCAGUAGCUCUCUGGAGGAGGAGUUGGGUACUUGACAUUCAGCUGCUCUGCCUAAUUCACCUCUCUUUGCCUUAAUACAGCGGUGGAAGUUGUUUAUUUUGUGGCAGGAGCUCGGAUUAACUGGAUGAUGUGUAGACCUCAUUUCUUCUUCAUCCUCUAAAGUUCUCAAGCAGCUAAUGAGAGUUUAAAUAUAUAAAAAGAAAAUCGCUCACCGUGAUAGCUCUUGGAAUCUUUUUUAAGGUAGGUUCAUUGAUCAGCUCGUCACUAGCAGAGACACAAGGUGCCACCUCAGCUGCCAACCUCAAUUCUAGUGGCUUUCCGAUAGCAGCAACUCUCCCACCUUUCCAGCGUUACACCGGAGCCUCUGAAGUUUCCCAGGCACUUCCUGUGAGAGAGACAGCGCAGAACUGCAGUCCUUAAAAUAAAUUACCAGCUAGGGAAAGAGCAUGCUGAUAUUCACUAUCUUUAGAGGUAAUCUUUCUCCCACCUGUCUUCAGAGCUGAGAAUUGCAAGCUCAUCUUUUUAUGCAUGCCGGGAAUGCAAAGAAAAAAACAUGGAUGGUGUUUUAUCAUACGCUCUGAAACUAUAUAUCCAUGUUUCUGAGCUAAAUAUAAUUCUAUGUCAAGAGAAAACACAGCACCGUAAAUAUUGUAUAGCACCACGUCCCAGUGCAUUCUAGUGCUAACGGUUACCUAAUAUAUUUCUCUGUGAAUAUGGCGUGUUUCCUUGGCACUUUUUGGUUGGUGUCUUACUGAACCCUUCUCCUUGUAGUUUGCUUUUAUCUGAGCUUGGGUGCAGCAACAAGUGAACCUGCACCACUGCAACAGGCUGGAUUAUUCUGUUAGGGCCUGUCUGGAGCCGAUGGGAAUUUCUACAGUAACUAAAACAGGCUCUCAAAUUGAAAGCCUGGGGUAGAAAACACUUCCCGAGUAAACUCAUCUGUCCCUUGCGUGUGUCCUUCCCGUACCAUCCAGGCUGGAAUCCUCCCCACAUGCCGUUUGCCCAAGUGCUUAUAAAUACACGACCUUGCAGCUCAAAGCUCAUAAGUGCUUCAUGCUGCGCACUCAUCGCAGCUCGGGUGGAUUCAUGCAUCAACAAGAAAGGAGGGCGUUAGUAAUCACCCGAGUAUUCGUUCUGUGUGUGUUGCAGGGUACAGGUAUGCAGGCUGCAGCACCCUGCCUUUGGGUUGAGUACAAACAGAGCGUUAGUCAUGCCCGAAACAGCCAUUGUGUAACUCUUCCCUUGGCCAGGCUCCGUCCGCGCCAUCGCAGCUGUGGUUUACUGCUCUGCAGUGACUCCCAAGCCUCUCCCCAUGCCGCUGGUUCCCUGGCACCUGAGCUUCCUAUCGUUAACAUUUUCCCAGUAGCUUUAUUAUUCCCAAAAGCUGCUGUAGGGACUGUAAUCGAUACCUCUUCCCACUUCUCCCGGGUUUUCCCCUUAAGGACUCAUCUGUCUGGUGAGUAAUGCCCAUCCUCAAGCGUAGCUUUCGUUCCCCGGGAGCUCCGUUUCCCCAGCACAGCGCAGCCACACGCGGAUCUUGCAGCUCCGUGACUCAUCUCUUUCUGGAUCCUCUGCAUGCAAGAAGUGGCGUGCUGGGGGAUGAUAGUAAAUCUCCCAGUGAAAGCAAGAUUUUAUGGUUGUGCUUAUUCAUCUUUCUCCAAAGCAGAACUCUAUUAUGUAAAUGCCAACAGCAGCAGUGGCACCGAGUAGCAAAGAAGAAUGUACUAACUGGCGUGGUAAUCUUUACAAAUGAACAGCAGAGGUAUUCACAAGCAGAGAUGCUUUAAGGAAGGAGCUGGCUUGUAACAGUUUCUUUCCAUACUGCUCUUGGAAAAAAAAGAAAAAAAAGAAAAAAAAAGAUAAAAAAGCCUUUGCAGGAUUUUAGGAGUAGAAACCUUUAGAUAAAUGCAUGCUAACGCUCCGUCCCACGGAGUGGAACCAAUCCCAUUCUGCCGUGGCCAAACCUGUCAGACCUGGCAGGGUUACCUGCCUCCCCCCCACGCCUCCUGGCAAGGCAGGGAGCAGAUCAUCAGAAACCUGUCCGAGCCGUGGAAAGCCUGAGAGGGCAAAUAACAAGUGCUGAAUGUGUGCCGGGAGAAUAUCUCGGAGAGUAUCGCUCUGAAAGGGAUCUUACUGAGGUUAUAGAGGUGGGUCACAGGUGAGGCUGAUGUGCGAGAUUUUCAUUUCAUGCAUGUAUAUGCAUUUUUCAUACUUCCAUAGGCUCACUUAAUUCUGCCUUUCUGCUUGCUUAUUGAUAACCUUUUGUUACUAAUAACAUAGCAUAGCACCUCUGUGUAAGCAUGUUACUCCAAGCAAAAACCUGUGAGGAAAAAAGCCCUUGGAAAAACUGCCUCAUCCUUCUGCCAUUGCACCAUUAACUUAGCCAAACCACUUCUAACAGCAAGUAAAUGUGAUUAACCCAAUCCACUGUAUCCCUCUGAAAAGUGCCUGACAACUCUUGCCAUUAAGACUCAAAUACCCAUCGCUUCCAACCGUUUGGUAUUGUAGAAACAAUAAGCCAUUUUUCAGGUUUUUGCCUCUUUCUGAUGCACCCAGGGCUGUAGAAUUCCUGAGCUCAGGACACUUUUCACGCCUUGGUCACUGCCAGCCUCUGCUUCCUCUGCAAAAUGGUCCGUCACGUCCUGUCACUGUAGCUGGAGUAAAUGCAAGUCAGCAAAGUUUGCCCCUGUUUAAUUUGACUACAAAAUUAAAUUAACUUCCCCAUAGUCAGCUUGUAACACCAGGUAAAUGUGUCUCUCUCUUAUUUAAUUUAUCAUUAUACUCUCCUGAUAAGUCAAAUUCUGACUUCUGCUUUAACAUAGUGUGAAAACACAAUUGCAGUUUUUCACAACCAGAAAUGUCAAUCAAAAAAAGAAAGUUUAGAGUGGAAUCGUGCAGUUGUGCUGGGUUGUACCUGGACUGUACCUUUCCUUUGCAGUAAAUGCAGCUGAGAAUCUGUACGUCUGAAUCUAUGUGGAUUUCAACGCUAGAGCAAGUUAAGCGUUUUCAGCUUUUUCUUUGAGUAUCUUCGAUGCAUGUAUCUUUCGAGUAUCUUCUGUCUACGUACGUCCUGCUCAUCUCAGGCCUUUCAUAUGCAGCUAAAUGGUAAACGAGGAUGGUAGUUGUUGCAGAAAUUAAAUCCAAGGUUUUAAAUGAUACAAAAAUAAGUGCUGUUCAGAAGGAAUUUAGGAAUUGGUGCCUUGUGCUAUGCAAUUGUAAGCAAAUACGGAUAUUGAAAAGUCAAGUUUUACUUUAAGAUGAGCUCUAAAUGCAGCAACCUCAAAAUUAAAUUUGGGCAUCAUAGCUUAUUUAUUCUAAAUUUAAAAAAAAGUCAGGUGCAAAAUAAUUAGCGAUAAUUGCAGUCAUGGCUUUUUGCUUCAUUGCAGUGAUCCCGCGUGCAAAUCAACAUCCCAUCUUGUGGGGCAGAUCUCCAAAUUUCCUCUCCUCCGUACGGUUUUCUCCCUUGAUAAGAGCCGUUAAAUAAUAAUUAAGUAGCUGUUCGAUAUUAUACAAGAUCUGCUGUAGGGUUUUUGCUAUUUUUAAAAAAUUAUUUCAUUUCCCUGCUGCAUUAUAGCCGUCUUUCCUCUAGAUGGUGCCCGAUACCCGAGAGCGGGGUGUAAUACUAUCCCCCAUGAAAGGCUAUUGAGAAAUAGUCAGGAUGCCGCUCGCCUUUGUUUCUAAAUUCUAUCUUAUAAUAGUUCACCUAAGAUGAUAGAUUACUUGUUCUGCAUGAUGUAAAUAUGGUGUUUCAUCCUCUUGAGAAUCUUAAAAUCCGUUCACUAGAGCCUAAAAUGCCACCUGCCUGGAAACGGUAUCAUCUGUUACUCCGUGGAGCGAUCCAUAUCUCAUAUUUCCUGUGGCAGCCAUUAACUGGUGUUAGCUGUUGAUCGGCUGGACGAAAUGCAAAAUUUCAAAUAUGGAUGAAACGCACAUGAAAAUGGGCAACAGCGAGUGAUCUGUGUACCUGUAUGCUCACAGCUCUGUAAGCAGAAGGACCAGCUGCCUCUGAGCGCUGUGCGCAGCUCUAUGGAAAUGUCAGCGCAGCGAUGCCAAGAUCUCCUCAGUGAGCGAUAGUAGUUUGCUACAGGUGACAUCUUUCAGACCUUGACCUUUCUUCCAACCCUUCUUCCCAUCUUGACUUUGUUGCUGCUGCCUAUCGACUGUACCAGCCCCCCGUGCCCUUGUAUUUGUGCUUUUUGCCUUUGCUGUGAUUCCUUCCGAGAUGCUUCUAGAAUGACCGAGGAACAUUUCCUUGGGAGAUACGGUGCAUCCUUAAAUGGGGUGUCCAAAAAUCCCAUCGAGAGCGAUGCUAACCUCUUGGCACAGGCUUUUAUUCGCUGCUGGCUGAAUGCGUCAGGUUUGAGCAAACAUCAGAGAAAUGCUGGAAGCUGAGCACCAGCAGAGGAAUUUGAGGAGAACAGGGGCUCGUGAGAGGCUUCGGUGCUCUUUAAAGAGUCUCGUCUUGUCUUUCGUACAAGCAUGUGGAAAAACAACCCAUGCUGCAGCUCUCCCUCCCUGUCGGGAGAAGAAAGCAACAGGAGAAAAAUUGUUGCUGGAACUUUCCUUCUGCAGUUCUUUCAUCCCGUCCACCCCGAGGGCAAACGGCGUGAGGCGUGGUUGCGUUUGGGGAGCGAGGAGGACCCAUCCUGCGGCAUCAGCACCGUCCCCGGGGGACGCAGGCGUCCCCGAGCUGGGGACUUUGCUUUGUUCCCUGCAGCCCCACCCACCUCCUCGGCCAAAAAAUGAGAUUUUUUCAUCAACUGCAAAAGUCUCCUGCACACGGUUUAAUGUUACUUUUGGCAGUUUGCACCCAGACUCUGAGCUACCCUAUCCAGGAACCGGUGCGGCAGCCCUGAGGUCCAGCUGCAUCUCGGGUCAGAGAGUUUGUUCCGUUUGACAAUGUGGAUUUAAUGAAGAGGCUGCCCGGCACCGGGAACCGUUUCCCUCGAAUAGCUGCGAAAUAAAUGAUGGGACAUUUUCCAGGGCAAUGCUGCAACCACCCAAAAUACCACCAUAAAAUUCACAGGCGCAAACCAGAGUGCCUGCAUUAAGCAAGGCUUAGGGGGAUUAUCGAAUUAAAUUGGUUGCCCCUUCCACCCUUCCCCCAGUCAAAGACAUUAGAAAUCUAAAUACAAAAAAGGGUGUUAAAACAACACAAUGGGCUUCGCUAAAACCUAUAAACGCAAAGAAACUCAUUGUUAAGGAUGUCGCUUUAUUCUAGGCUGCUAUUGUGUUUAGGCGCAGCGUUGUGUUUCCGAGGGUUUUCUGUCGGGGAGCGGCAGAGCCAUGGGUAAUCUUAGGAACCACAGAAACUGCCGCAGCUGGAACGCUCCCGGAAUGGCUCGGCUUCGGCAAUUCCCCCAGCGAAAGAAAGAUGCAACAUCACCGCCUACAGCGCAGGACCGCUGCCUCCGCCGCCAAAUCCUUCUGCCUGACUUUGGCGCUUUCACUGCCGGCUAUUCCCGGCUCCGUCCUUUUCCCGGGGACAGCGGCGUCACCAGCAUCCUGCUCGUUUCGGGGAGAGUUUGUGCGAUGAAAGCUUUGCUUUAAUCUGGGCUGGAUUUAUCCAGAUGCAUCAAUCUCUGGAAGGUUUACACGGGUCUCAGGUCUCCUGUGUGGCACGUAGCCUUGAUUUGUUAAUCUGGAAAUGGUUUAUUCAAAAUUUAAAAAAAAAAAAAAAAAGGCAAAAAAAAAAAAAAAGCCUUUAAAACUGCUUUGCUUGAGCUGCUUUGCCUGCGCAGUGGAACAAGUGCCCAGGCUCUCAGCAAUAUAUAUCGUCUGGCAGCCAUGUAAUAGGUUUUAGGCUAAUAUGUGGCGUGUUGUGCCUGCUUUAAUUGAAUGAAUUAUAGCCGAAAAAAGCAUUUCCCUUUUAAGUUUAAAUAUUUUAAUAUCUUGAUGAUGCAAUUUGUUUGAAUACUUAAUAUAUAAAUAAGUUAAAUAUUCAUUUCCAAUACAUUUACAGAACCCAUUUCACCCAAAUGACCACGGAACUAUUUCCUUACCAGGGAAUCACUUUUCCUUGCAUCCUUUUUAACAUCAUUUAACAUCAACGUAACGUUCAACAUCAUUAACAUUAAUUCAUAUUUAAAGUCUUUAUUUUAGUACAGCAAUAAAGUAAAUUCAUUAGGCUUGGAGUAAAGAACUGAGACACCUGUGUAGCAACAAAUAGGAUUUACGGAGUUUUUAGGCUCUUUGGGACAAACACGGGUUUGUUCUUGCCCGCCUCAGAGGAGGACGGCCGAGCCCGACGGCACCCCAGCCAGAUGAGCGGUGUUAAUAGGUGCUAAUUAGUAAAGCCACCAGGUUCUCUUUGACCUUCUCUUAUUGCAAGGGCUGGGGAGAAAGGACCCCUUUGACUGUCCGGGGUCCCGUGUCCCCCCGUGUUCCCCCCGCAGCGACGCUUCGUCCAGCAGGUCGGAGCUGAAGUUUCAAGGUGUUUUGCAGCACCGCGGGAAGCCGCGCUCUGGGAAGGUGCCUGGGCCACUGACCCUCUGGGACAAGCCUGGCCUGGAGAAAACCAAAGCGGCAGCAGUUCAAAACCCGAAUAAUAUUACUAUGGCAACAAAAUAACUCACCUUAAAACAAAACGUGCAUUGGAGAGCAACCUUACAUGUUCAGGGAACAGAAAAAGAAAGAUCAUGUAUUUUUUUAUAAUUUUGUUUAGCUUCCUGAAGCCUUCACCUAUUGGCAGAUGCCGAUGCAGAUAUAAAAAAAAAAAAAAAAAAUCAAUUCCUAUCAGCAAUGAAAUGAAAGUGAACACAAGCGAACUUCCAGUGCACAAGAAGCGCCCCAAACGAUGCCACUGGUGUUUAUAAACGGGGUUGGUUUUGGGGGGGUUUGCCCCUCAGCGUGGCGUUCGGGGGGUGAGCGGGUCCCCCCGCGGCUCGGCCCCGUCGCAGAGCGGGGCUGGGGGCGAGACACGGGGCGUCCCUGGAGGAGCCAAGGGCUGCCCCGGCGGGUCUUCCAACAACGCAAACAUCAGCGUGUGUCUUGGGAGAUGGGUAACGGCCUGAGGUGGCCACUCUACGGUUACGAGGAAUUGCAUGUUUUUCUGAGCCGAAAUAAAGCCGGAACGAGAGCAAACCCACCAAUGAUCUGUGCAGGCCUUUUUACUUUUCCUUUCCUCCCGGGCUGGGCUAGAAGAUCCCUUUGCUUGCUAAUGUGGGUAAUUUUCAAUUAAGAUGAAAUGAAGGACAUCUCUAUUAUUUUCUUUUAAUAAAUGGACACAAGAGCAUGUCUGAGCACUUUCCUUGUUGUCUUUCUAUGUCUGUCUGAAAACAGAACAUUUUUUUGCCCCCGGGGAAGGAUAACAUCUACUUUAUCUACUUCCAUCUCACAGUGUUGGUCGUGGAUCUUUCUUUUCCUUUGUGCUCUUUCCCUCGGCUGAGGU